UACGUAGGUGGCAAGCGUUGUCCGGAUUUACUGGGCGUAAAGAGCGCGCAGGCGGUCGACCAAGUCGCGUGUGAAAGCCCCCGGCUCAACUGGGGAGGGUCACGCGAUACUGAUCGACUCGAAGGCAGGAGAGGGUAGUGGAAUUCCCGGUGUAGUGGUGAAAUGCGUAGAUAUCGGGAGGAAGACCAGUGGCGAAGGCGGGUCUCUGGACAGUUCCUGACGCUGAGGCACGAAGGUCAGGGGAGCAAACGGG
rnacentral:rRNA from 1 species